rnacentral:lncRNA from 1 species
UGCGUGUGAGACUCCUUGUACCAUUUUAAAUUCUGUCUGUCAGCUCCAUUCUAUCUACAUCCGAGGGAAUAUUCAGUAGAAAGAUCUAGGGUAGAGUGUGGAGGGGAAAGUUUGAGAUUGCAUAUAAACUCAUCACUGGAUUUUGAGACAGGCUAAGUCUCCACUGCUGAUAACAAGCUUGUCUUAAAGAAAGUUCCAAAGGGGAGAAGAAAUAAACGAAAAGGCUGAAAGAAAAGAACAAGGCAUUUCAGUGGACUUUAAUAAGCUGACUUUUCUUAUUUUCCCAUCAGGUAACGUUCACAACUCUCUUUGCAUUUGGAUAGCUGCUAAUGGCUGUGAGUUUAUCACAGGAAAAGGAACACGUUCUCUGCAGCUGCGCAAGCCAAGAGAGUGCAGUUGAUGACAAGGAUGCAACAAAUUUAACUGCUGAAUGAUGACCAGGAGCUGUGUCAUCCUCACUCAGAACAAAUAUUCACAAGGCUCCCUGUGAUGGGAGCCUCUGGAGCUGGGCCAUGGCCGUUCUGGAAGCAUGUCACUGGAAGACACAACUUAAUGUUCACACAAGAAGAGGCCUUUCUUCCAAGCAAAGGAGAUCACAGAAGUUUAAAGACCUGUCUCCAUAGUCCUGGAGACAGUGGAAGAGUCAGAUGGAUUCUGCUUAUUCCUGUGAACCAACCACUGAUUUCUGGCUGCUGCUCAGAAGAAACAAGAGGGAUGGGUAAUUUAAAUAUCUGGAUCAAUAUUCUAAUUCUGGGCACACAUUGGAAUCAGCUAGUGACCUUAUAUCUGCUUGCUUCCAACAAUUCCCCAGUUCAUGGAAAGCCUUCAUAUUUUAUUUACUUGGGAUAAUUUUGCUUUACUGUUGUGGACUAUAUUGCUGUUGUACUCUGUGUAGGAAUGCAGUAUAAGCUUACUGU